GAUGAACGCUGGCGGCGUGCCUAAUACAUGCAAGUCGAGCGAACAGACGAGGAGCUUGCUCCUCUGAUGUUAGCGGCGGACGGGUGAGUAACACGUGGAUAACCUACCUCUAAGACUGGGAUAACUUCGGGAAACCGGAGCUAAUACCGGAUAACAUGUUGAACCGCAUGGUUCAACAGUGAAAGGCGGUUUUGCUGUCACUUAUAGAUGGAUCCGCGCCGCAUUAGCUAGUUGGUAAGGUAACGGCUUACCAAGGCAACGAUGCGUAGCCGACCUGAGAGGGUGAUCAGCCACACUGGAACUGAGACACGGUCCAGACUCCUACGGGAGGCAGCAGUAGGGAAUCUUCCGCAAUGGGCGAAAGCCUGACGGAGCAACGCCGCGUGAGUGAAGAAGGUCUUCGGAUCGUAAAACUCUGUUAUUAGGGAAGAACAAAUGUGUAAGUAACUAUGCACGUCUUGACGGUACCUAAUCAGAAAGCCACGGCUAACUACGUG
rnacentral:rRNA from 1 species